rnacentral:sRNA from 1 species
UAUAACGAUGGAAGAAAUCAACGGCCACAUCGGCG